rnacentral:lncRNA from 1 species
UUUUUUUUUUUUUUGUGUUGAAAAUGUUAUUUGAAUGUGAACUUGAAAGCUCUAAUUGGUAUUUCAUUAUAUUAUUUUUCUUUUGGUUAAUCGAAGAUAUGCAUGAAUACUCUACUUUUGAGAUCAUUAGUUAUGAUUUUAAAGUGUUUUGUAAUAAUUUUUAUAUAAAAUUAAGAGUUCUUUAAAUAGGUUAUCUGCAUACCAUGAAUAAAAUGGGCUUUGCAAAAACAUUUGAAAUGUUUUUGGGUGAACUCAAUGAGGCACGUCGCAAUCAUGAAGUUGUAACAGUGCGACUUCGUGCUUCACCUUGUCGCAAGUAACAGUGCGACUUCGUGCUUCACCUUGUCGCAACCUCAUUAACUCAGUGAGUCAUAUCGCGAUGUCAAAAUAUUCCUCGUCGUAACGUCGCGCUUGUUUUAGCAUUGCAUUAUUUUAAGUUAUUUUGACCUUCCAAAGCCAGUUUUGGAUUCCGAUCAACUCCAAAUAAACUCUAAAUGAUUUUAAAUUAUUUUUAAAACUUUCAAUUAGUCUAAAACAUAUUUUAAUUACUUUUUAAAAAUAUUUUAAAUUUUAAAUUCUUAAAUAAAUCUAAAAUUUUUUACUCAUACAUGUUUCGGUGGUAUCUUUCAUCUGUACCAGUUGUCUGGAAUGGAUGAAGAAUGUUACAGUUAACUUGUGUGACGGUGACAACAGUGGACAAGCCCAGAAGCACCAUCAAGUAUGUUGUGAGGUUUGAAGUAAUUCUUAAUAAGCAAACCUUUCAAAAACUUCAAGGGCAAUGGUGAAAGAAGUUGAUCCCUUACCACCGGAGUUUGAACGGCGCGCAAGGCGGCCUUUGAGAUCAAGGCAGCCUUUAAUUGUGUCAUCUAAAAGUGGAACUUUAGCAAUGGACCGAUUGGAUAUUGCCAUAGCUCUGUUUGGGAUGAGCCAAAAAGUUCUUUUUUGAAGGAAUGUCAUUACAAUCAUUUAAUCCUUCAUAUGGUUUUUAGGAAAGGAAGUUGAUGAUUUAAGAGAGGUGAGUGAAAUUAUUAAUCACUUUUAAUGAAUUUAAUAGAAUGAUAAACAAAUAAUAAUGAUGUUAAUUUAUAUUACUUUAUGAAAAAUAACAAAAAAAAAAAAACAAUGACAUAUGACGACCAUUGAUAGGCUAAGCAAGUCACGUCAUUACAAAAAAAUCUAACAAGUUUAGAGGUCAAUAUGGGAUUAAAAAAAGUUUAAGGGCCAAUGUGGGAGAAGGUGACAAGUUCAAGGGCCAAUUGUAUAAUUAAGCCUUCAUUUUAAUCAGUUAGGUUAUCAUACAAAAAUGGCUUAAUAUAUAAUUGGUACUUGAGUUUAACACUCUUUUUUCUAAUGUGAUACUUAUGUUAUUUUUUGGUCUAAUUUAGCAAUUGUAUUUGACAAAAAAUUAUAUUUUGGUAUCCUAAGAUAACGAUGUUAACUUUUUAGUGCUUAAUUUGAUGAAAGUUAAUUGUUAAUAUUAUUAGGUUUAAAUAUUUCAUAAUUUUGUUAAUAGAAUAAGCUUAGCGUUAAUUGCAAAAUUGUUUAAUUUGUUGAAUACAACCAAAAGGAUGUGAUUUAAUUUGAGUUUUAAGGUUAAUUUGAUAAAAGUUAAUUGCUAAUAUUAUUAACUAAUUAUGAUUUUUCAACAAAUCAACUCUAGAACUCGAAUUAAAUACUAAAACAUUAACACUACAAGCUUCAAAUAUCAAAAUGUGUAACUUUUGUCAGAUAUAGGUACCACAUGAGAAAAAAAAUACAAAUACUACAUUAAUAAAAAGUGUCAAACUCAAAUAUCAAAUUAUGUAUUAAGUCUAGAAAGAAAUAAUAGACUAAUUAAGGUCAAAGGGUUGAUAGAUAUCUUAUAAAGAUACAGUAAAAUAUUUAAAAAAAAAAACACAUGAUGAGAGCUACAAAUAAUUAUUGCUUUGAUUUUAUUAAUUUCUCUUUUAAGAAAUUAUCUUGAAACUUUGAUAAACUAUGAGUAUCAUUUGUAAUAUUAUUCCAUUUUUUAUUUGAGCAAUGGAAGUCCAACGGAAACGACUUUGACUGGGAAAAAUUUUAUGAAAGUCGGAUCUCCAAGUUCUGACUUGAACUAUUUUGGUGAAUUUCUCAUCUAUAUUAUAAGAAAAAGGCCCAAAACACUUGUAGAAAAAUUUGGAUAAGUUUGCUGGCAAAAUAUACUUUACAAACGCACCCAUUUCUUUUUUCUCUGACAUUUUUGGUCAUGGUGCCUGCACACAAAUUAUUCACCUCCACAAAAAUGGCCCCCUCCUAGUCCUAUCACCUUUCACUUGUCAAAUACCAGUUCUAAUUUAUCACGUAACAAGUUUUCAACACUUCUUCAUUUUGCUUUUCUUUUGGGAAAUCUUACAAAAAAAGAAAAACAAUCAUAAAAAUCCCUCAAACAGUUUCAUCUGAUGCUACAGAAAGAGAGACAACCCACCAACACCUCUACAUAAUAAUAUCAAUUCCUGUUUGAUUAAAUAACUUCAAGCUGACAACAACGACAAGGGCAGGUCACCUGCCAACAGUGAAGUAGUUGCAUCUGCACUAGGACACAUCCUGCAAGGAAACUUUAUUCCAAUUAAAGCAGCACCAAAGUACUACCAGAAACAAUGAGUUUGAGGUUAAAUUUUAAGACAUACAUAAAACUAGUCAAAAGGUAAAUCUAUCAAGUUGGAAGUCAUUCCUGAUGCCAUUGAUUAGUAGAUGAUACCUGGCAAUCACAGUUUACAGGUUUGGGGGAAAUUUCAUCAGUUCUCAUCUAAAGAAUCCAAAAUGCUUUUAAUUUCUUCAAGUUAACAGUUCAAGAACUACAGGAGACAAUUAAUGGAAAAGAUGCAAAAUAACCACCUGGCCACAAUUAGAUCUUGGCAAACCUAGCGAUCUUAGAGAGGACAGUUCUUAAACUUCGGAUUCCAGCUCCGGAUUUUGAGCUCACCAUCAUCUGAAAUAAAACCAAAAUUCAUGUACAUAGGCCUCCUACUCAAUAAUUCACUGUACAUCAAAUAUGUAAACAAAUUUGUUUCUUCAUACCACAGGUUGAACUACAGAUCUAUUUGCCCUGAGGCCCUGCAAAAACAAAAGGAUUUUAGAAACUGGUCAGUCUCAAAUGCAAGUUGCUAAUUUCAAUCAAAACGUAAACAUCAAUGCAUCAAAGCACCUCUUCAAUUUGCAUUGCACGACGUGCCACAUCAAUUGGGAACACUGUAUCAGUCUUGGUUAAGACAAUCUGGUACUUUGUUUGAGAUCUGUAUAUUAAUAAUCGAAAAAUCAACAAAACAAACAAAUACAUGUAAUACUACUAGUGUGGUUAAUGUUCCUUCUAUGCAUAAACAUGAACAAACAUGCAAGACUGCUGCAUGGUCAUACCAUACUGCCACCAGACUGGCAAAUAAUGAUCUUAACCCCCCCCCCAGGUAGCAAUGUUGUCAAGGGUGCCAGGCGCACUCAAGGCACUAAGACCCCUAUAUAGCCUGAGGCACAAGCAUAUACGUAUAAAUAUAAAUAUAUAUGUAAAAUGUAUAUAAACAUAUGUAACUAAUACAUAUAAUUAAUAAGUAUUAAUUAAUUAGUAAAAGAAAGAUAAAUUUUAAUAUAGUUCAAUUUAUAGAUUCAAAACAUUGUUCAAUAGUUUAAGUUUUAAUAAUUUACUUAAUGUAUUGUAAAAUAGAACACCAUAAGAACGAAAUUAAAUAUAUUAUCACAAACUAGCUCUAAAUUUCCUUCAUCUUCUCUUGAAAAGUUUUUUAACUUUUAAGAGUUAACUAGGUUUUUAUAUAAUAAAAUUAGGUCAACAAUUAAUUAAAAGAGUCACUUAUUAUAUUUUUCUUUUAAAAGUCAAAAUGAAAAAAAAAAAAAAAAAGAUAAACAGGGGAAUGGAACAGCUCUUUAGUGAGGCGCACUUUUUUUGCACCUGGCUUUGCAACAAAGGCACCCAAAAAGCACACUAAAUCUUAUCACACAAAAUCCUGAUGAAACUAUUAUACCAAAUGAGAUGAAACUAUUAUACCAAAUUAAGUUUCCACUACAUUCCAUACCUUUUACUUUUUAAGCAAAGAAAAUAGCAUUGCAGGCUUAAAAGUUACCAAUUUGAUAUGGAAAAAAUAUUACCUUUCCAUGAGAUCAAUGAGUUCAUUAUCUCUAGGCUUCAUACCCCACUUUGUAUCAAUGAGCAGGCACACUCGUUUUAGACCAACUCUUGUUGAAACAUACUCCUUCACCUGCAAGUUGUAACAGUUAACAAAGUAUCUUAAUUGCAAGAGGUUAAGUCCUAACUAAUUGGUUUUGACAAGAAAUUAGCAAGAUGGAAAAAGUUUAAAGCCUAGACUCAGAUUUCUUUAACUAAGUCAGUUCUCAAAUUUUCAACUCAGGAAACAUCCCAAGCCAAUAAUUUCAGCCUCCCACAGUCGACUAUCAGUACACACAAAACUUGCCUAACACUUGAUUGGUUCAGCAAAAACAAAUGUCUACCUCGUCCAACAACUGACAAAAUGAAUCAUGCUCACUACUCAUUAGCAACCUAAUAACUAAUAACUCUCACAGAUUUAAUUAUGGUGUUCACCACCAAUAAGGUGUUAAAAAUGCAAAGACUAAUGCGUAUAUAUCUGAAGCAGUUGCAGGAAAAGGCUGGAUCCAGAUAUCAUGUACUCACAAGCUCUUCCCACGCCUCCUUAACUUCUUCCUUUGCAUAAGCAAAGCCAUAGCCAGGCAAAUCAACCAGGCAGAGCUUCGAUCCCAACUGGAAGAAAUUAAUACUCUGCAACAAAAUAGCUUUUGUAACUUCAACAAAAAAGAUAAAUUCCCAGGAAACUAAAACACAGUUUAAGAAAAUUGAGAGCACUUGAGUGAGGCCUGGUUUGUCUGAUGUCCGUACAACACCCCAUUGUCUGGUAAGUGCGUUAAGCAGAGAUGACUUCCCAACAUUUGACCUCCCUGACAAGGGCAAUAAAGAUGUAUCAUUCUUAACAUGAAUAAACAUGUAUAAGCUUUCUGAGACUACAACAAGUAGUCAUACGGGUCAUAAAAAAAACACCCUGAUAAUCAGCAGAGUGUGAAACCAGCUUAACAUUAUAAUCCCAUCUCUCAGAAAACUCAUUACAUUGAAUUAUGAAAGAAAGCACACACUGAAGAAAAAUAGUCAUUCCAGCAGCUUUAUCAUAAGGCCCUACAGGCAAUCUUGAAAAGAGUACAGAUACAGAGAGCAUGGUUGUCAUAGCUCCUGUGCACACCUUUCCCAUUUGAGACGUAUAAUAGACACUGUGAAAAUUAUAGACUCUUGCAAUUGGUAAAUGAGACCUUAACAUGUAAUACCAAGGAAAAGAAAACUUUUGAAGCCAUCAAGAUAAAGAGCGUAUGGUAACCAGAAAACAGCAAAACAUAAAAUAAAACGAACAAAUCUGGAAGGAAAAAAUGAAAAAUAUCAAGUGUCUACCUGCAAAUGCGAUCUCAGGACUAUCAGGAGCAGGAAAAGAAGAUGAAACCUUUGCAGCAGCGAAAAACUGCAACUUGUUCCUAAAUAUCUGCAAAGACAUGGCCUAUAAAUGAACACAACAGCAAAAUGAAGAACUUUUAGCUAAUUAUCGCAUUAAUCAAAAACAUACAUUUUCCUCAAUGCGUUCCCUUUCCGGAUUGGUAGAAAAAGGGAUAUUAUCUAAUGGGGCAGAAAGCUCAGUGUUAUAGCCUGCUCUCUGGAUCUCAAUAGAGCGUCUACGCCCUAACAACUGUAAAUGGUAUUACCAAAAGUCAUAAUGCAGGAAAAUGGUAGCAAGAAAUGAUGCGAAUGUACAGUUCAAACAUCUCAAGGCACUGCGCAUACAAAUUACAUUAUCUUCCACAAAGGAAAGGAUGGAGGGACUGGGCUGUAUUCCACGGAAUUGCGCAUUCUUUGACAUGGCAGCAUUUUCCUCCAAAUCCUUUUUCUUGUCCUUUUUACUUUCUAGACAGGAACAAACAAACAGCAACAAGAAAAAAAAAGUUUUAAGAAAAAAUCCACUCCAAACAAGGUGCAAAUAUAAGAACAGCAGACAAAUUGGAAAAAAUUCUGACCAUCAGUUGCAAUGCCAUCAUCAAGCCGCUUGUUUGAGAUAUCAUAAGGAUCUAAACGGAUUACCCGCUUUUUUUUCUUCGGCUUAUCAUCUACAACUUCUGAAUCAGUUUUUAAGCUUUUUCUAACCCGAACUACUUUUUUAGUUGAGUUGGCUCUGGCAUUGGCUUGUUUCUUUGAUGAAUCAUUUGGAGUACUAUCUAUUUCUAUUUCUAUUUCUUUUGCUCUAGUGCCGCCAUUCUUAGGGUUACGAGAAGUAGCUCUCUCUAAGGGAGGAGAAGCUUUGCCAUAGCUUUUUCUCUCUUUGUUUAAGGCACCCUUGACCGUCUUUGAGUGUUUUCCAGAUGAAACCUUCUUAUGGGUUGCCUCUAAAUUCUUAUGAGAAUCAACUCUCAUUCUUCUCCCAUCAUCCUUAAGUCUUCUACUUUCAGAGUUGGUCUUCCCACCAAUAACACCGUCCUUUUCAACACUAGGUUUAGUUGCAUCCCUGUUAAUGUAAUUCUUAGGUUUCCCCAAAGAAACCUUUAGUUUUUUGUUGAGCUUAAGAUUUAAGCCUGCCUCUUUAGACAUUCUCAACUUCCCACUUCAGUGGAACACACAAAUUUAGGAACAAAACUGGAAAAGCUGGAAGACACGGAAAACGAUAUCGUACCUUGUGAACAAAUUUUCUUAAGCCUCCAUGAACGAACGGCUAGGCUCACCUUUGCCGCUCUAUGUAUGUUUUUAUUGGUUUUGUUUUUAGUUAAUGGUGGUGGUUCACCCUAAUUUGAAGUUGGAAGAGUUGAAAGUACUUGGGCCAGACAUUGUUACUGAAUAAAUGGAUUGAUUGACCCAUAAAUAAAUUUUACCAGUGAGCUUUUCUUUUGGGCCAGACAUAUAAACUCUCUUUUAUCUUCUGGCUUCUCCAGUCUCCGCAGGAAAGGAAAUAGAUUUCUUAACUCUAAAGAAUAAGGUGAAACUGGAAGUGGAGGAAGCUUACGCAACUAAGGCCUGGUGCUUUGCAAGUAGUAACUCAAGGGAUUCCGGGGUUUAUAUGGCCUUUUGCUAGCAAUAAGUAUCAGGCUGCAGCAGUUUGGAAUAUACUUACGACCUCGCCAGUGGCAUGGUCCAAGGUUUUUAUCCCUAAACACUCAUGCCACAUGCAUGCCCUCUAUGCAAGCAAGAAGGGGAGACUGAAGACCAUCUAUUUGCAGAUUGUAGUUCCAAAAAACUGAUAUGGCACACAGAUUCAAAGACAAGCAGGAAGUUGAGCUAGGGAGCUGCAACGGAUCACAAAACAACUCCUAAGGGAAGACUCUAGAAAACCAUUAUUCGUGGUGCUUGGAUUGCUAUGAUAUAUCUGGUCUGCAAGUAGAGAUAGAGCUUGCGAAGCAGGCCCAAGCCGGUCCGUAUCGAUAAAAACUCGUAACAAUCUAAGUUCGAGAAAGUUCAAGUUUGAAAAAAUUUAAGCCCAAAAAAAUUCGAGUCUGUAAGAAUCUAAAUCCAAUAUUAAUCUAAUUCAAGCUCGAAAUAAAUUUAAUUUAAACCGAAUUUAUAAUUGAACAACCAUAAUAGACAUUAAUAACUAGUAUAAAGUAUAUAAUUAAUCACCCAACUAUUAGCAUAUUUUUGUUUUGAUCUUCCAAUUAUGAAAAUUUUUGAAAAAUAUAUAAAUUUUUAUCUUGAAUUUAAAAUUUUUGUAAUAUUUUUAAUUUUUUAGAUACAAUAUUUCUAUAAUUUAUAAUGCCUUUCAUAUUUUAAAAUAUAUUUUUUUAUACAUUUUUCUUUAAAAAUUUUAAAUAAUUUUAUGAAAAAUAGACCAAGGCAUCAUCAAUGCCAUGUCACGUGUCCCAACUUAAAAAGUGUCAUGUGUCCUAUAUUUAACAUUGUUAUAAAAAAAAGUACCAGAACCCUUAACGGAAUGAAAAUUCAGGUACCAAUUUGAAAGAAUGUGUCAAGUUUGGGAGGCUAAAUGCAUAUUUGAGCCUCAUAAUUAUAAUUAAAUACAAACACAUAUAAAUAAUAUUAUAUUUUGUACUUUUCAUAAUAUAUAAUUUAUAUUUAAUGUUAUGUGGUUGAAGAACAAAUUGAUAGAAUUUAUAAAUGUGGAGGGUUAAAUUUAUUGAAUUAUUUAGAAUUAGGAUUGAAUUGAUAGAAUGUGUAAGUAUUGAGGACUAAAUGUGUUAUUAUACUAGGUAGAAAAAUGCCACAUCAUCAUUUCCGUUAACCAUUUAAUGAAGAAUGACUAAAAUAGAAACAAUCUAAAACGUAAGUUACCGAAAUAGAAAUAAUCUAAAACGUUAAUAACUAAAUUGAAAAUUUUCAUAAUUGAGUGACCAAAAUAGAAAUACGCUAAUAGUUGGGUGAAUAAUUAAUAUAAUUUUAUAUUAAAAUAAAAAUAAAAAUUUAUUUUAUAAAAAUGUGUUCAUAAGCAUAUAUAUUUACAUUAAAUUUUCAUUAAUAGCGUAAGUAAUUGAUAAUAAUUUUUUACGUUAAACUACAAAAUGAAAUAAAUGUUUAAAAAUAUUAAUUAAGUAUAAAAUAUUUUAAUUCUAUAAUUCUGUAUGUAUAUAAUAUUUAUUAAAAUUAAUAAUUAUUAUAAUAUUAAUAUUAAAAUUUAAUAAUAAUAUAAAAUAUAUAAUGACGCAAUAUAUUAAUAUAAUAAUACAAUAGCUAGUGUUAUACUUGACAUAAAUGAUUAAACAUGAUUUAUUGUGCAAUAUUAAUAAUAUUAUUAAUAAAUUUAAUUUUAAUGAUUUGAAAAUUUAGGUUUUAGUUGUAGUUUUUUUUUUAUAUAAUUUGGGAAUUUAGGUUUUACUUUUAUCUUUUCUAUUGAUUAUUGUUUAUUUUUUAUUAAUAUUAAAGUCUUAUUAACAUUAUUAUUUUUAUGUUAAUUUUUAUUUUGGAAUAGGUUUACUUUUAUUUAGGUUGAGUUUUAUAUAAAUUUUAUAUUGAGUUUAGAUUUGGGUUUGGGCUUGAAUAUAUAUUAUAUUAAUAAGUGUAAAGUUGAUUAAUUUAGUUUAAAUAGUUUUGAAUUUCAAAAUCGACAUCAAACAUACAACAUCAAAUCAAUUGAUUAUCUAACUCGACCUUAAUGCAUAUAUAUUGUAUAAUAUAAUAUAGUCGAGGGGCUAACUUUUAAAUGUGCACUUGGAGCAUAUUUCAACCAGUAUAAUAAUAAAUAAUAAUGUACAAUGAUAAUUAAUAUAUUAUGUAUUACUAUUACAGUAUGUGAUGUAGUAUUACAUAAUGUAAUAAUUGGUCCAAAAUCAAAAUCAAAUUUACCAAACGGUUUGCUUGAAUUGGCUCGAUUUGGUCAGUUUAAUUGGUUUUAAUCACUAACUAUAAUAGAUGAUAAACUAUUACAUAAUGUAAUAAUAUAGUAUGCGGGGAGGGGAUCCACUUACAUUAAUGUAAAACUAACUAAAGUAGUUGUAUUCCCUUUCAUAUCUCUCUGUAUGAUUAAUAUUUUAACAAUUCAACCAUUGAAUUUAUCAAUAAAAUUAUAUUUGUCAUGCAUGUAAAUUUUCAAACCGAUCUGAUAUCUUUAUCAUAUUGAUCUCAAACACUAUAUCUAUUAGUAUUUAUUGAAUGAUUAAAAGUUUUUACAUAAAACAAAUAAUUAGAAAAUUUUAAUUUACAUGAUGUAAAUUUGACAUAUAUGAUCUAUAUAAAAUGUGACGAUUGAAAUAUAAAAUAUGAAUUGUGUUACUAUCGUAUAAAAAUAAAAUGAAUAUUUAUGUUCGAAAUUAAAAUAUUUAAAAUUAAAAAAAUUUAAAAUUAUUUGAAUGUGUCAAAACCCAUCUAACUUGACUCGAGUUCGAAUCUAAAAAUAUUUGACCCGAAAAAUUUUAAAUCUGAAAAAUCUUGAAUUUGAAAAAGUUCAAACUUAGAAAAAAUCCAAAAUCUAAACUGAUUCCAACCCAUACACUCAGAUAUGUAUAAAUUACCACUUCCCCGAGAUUGGUAUCAGAGGUGCACGUGUAACAAUUUCUUGGAAAAAUAAUAUCAUAGUGUUCAUUGUAAGUCUUUAUCUUUGAUUUACAGUUUUGUUUAUUUCAUGUUUAUUUAUCUCAAAACCCAUGUAUUUGUUAUUAUGUCUUUCUGUUGUCGUUGAGUCCAGGGAAGACGUUAGGCCUUUGAGAGAAGACGUUUAAGAUAACAGACGGUUUUAGGUACCUGAGAUAAAUAAUAUGGAAGAAAUCAACUGUUUAUGUAAAGAUAAAACUUGUAAUCAUACUAUGCAUAUAGACUCUAAGAAUGAAAAUAACAUUUCAUCUCUGAGUAAGGGUUUUAAUAGUAGUUUAGUAGAUAUAACUUCUGUAUAUUUUUAUAAAUUAUAUAAUAAGUUUAGUAAUAUAGAACAAAAAGUAAAUAAUAUAGGAGAGGUUAAAAAUUUAGAUUUGAACAACGAAUCUAAAGAAAUAUUAACUAGUAUUAAUAAUAAACUAGAUCAGGUCCUUGUUAAUAUUAAUAAUAUAGAACAGGAUGUAGAUUUUGGUCAUUUAUAUUUUGGAAAUAGUAACAUAAUAUUAACUUUAUCUGAGGAAGAAGAAACUUCAUCAGAUGAAUCGUCAUCUCCUAAUAAAAAUAUAAAAAACAUAAAAAAAAGAAAAUAUAAAUAUCAACAAGAAUAUGAUUUCCAGUCCUAUAAACAACUUAUAGAACAUUGGAAAUAUAAAUUUACUAAAAGUAAGGAUAAAUUAGAAAGAAUAGAAUAUUUAAAACUUAUAGAACAACUUUAUGAAAAACAUAAAGAUUUGUUCACUUUGUUUAAUUAUCAUUAUAUGUUAAAUUAUGACACUACAGAUAGUAGUAGUUCUAGUAAUUCUGAGAUAACUCUAGAAACAAAUCUAGAAGAUUUAAAAGUUACUAGUUAUAAAUCAAAUGAAGAAAAUACUUCAACUGAUGAGGAUGAAAAUAUAGAUAUUCCAGAACCUAUGGAUACUGAACAAAUAGAUCCUUAUGGAAAAAGAAAAAUAGAACCAGAUCUUCAAAAAGAUGAUUAUAUGAGAUCUUUUAAUAAAGAUUUUGAAAAUGUUGAAAAUACAACUAGAAUUUUUGGUAACAAAACAAAAAAUAUAGCUACAAAUGAUGUAAAACCUGAAUAUCCAGGAGAAACAUUAAGUCAACCUAUUCAACAAAGAAUAGAUGAUUUAAAGGAGGAAUAUAUUUAGACCUAACUAAUAUUCCUAUUUCAGACUAUGAAAAAACCAUAAACGAUUAUAUUCCUAUUUCAGACUAUGAAAAACCAUAAACGAUUGGGCACAGUCUAUGACUAUUGUUGUAAACAGUAAUACAUGGUCAAAAGAAAAUUUUUAAAAUUAUUUUGUAGGAACAUUUCAAGGAGAUGUUCUACAAUUUCUCAGACGAUGGGAAGAAUCUGAGAAAGGAAAAGAACAAAAAGGGCAGUUAAUCAACCAGAUAGGAACUCUCAAAGAUCUUUUAAGAGGAUUAACUCUUAUUCUAAAAACAGAAUUUUGUGGUUAUAAUGAUAAAAAAAGAUCAGGAUAGUAUAUCUAAUUAUACCUUAUCAAAAAUUAAAUUAUGUGAUAUUAGAUAUUUAGAAGAAUUUUCUAAAAAAUUUCUUCAUGAAUAUCAAAAACUUAAAAAUGAAAAUAUAGAAUUUUAGAAAAACCAAUAUUUUCAUAAAUUACCACCUCCAUUGGAUGAGAUAUGUAUAAAAAAGUAUGUAUUUUAUUUAGAGAAACAUAGUAAUAUACCAUUAGAAAAUAUUGAUACUAUAGGAAAUAAGAUAAAUUUUGCAAGAGAAAGAAUAACUUUACACUGCUUGCAAAGUAAAGCUGCUAAACAAGUUAAGCAUAAAUUAAGUACUAAUUAUUAUACAAAAAUUCUAGAAAGUGAGUGGGAAUUUGGAUGUAAAAUCGAUACGUCCUAAUAAUUAUAAGAAAAAUAAAAAAUAUGAACUAGUUAAAUGGAAACCAGAAAAUAAAAAAUAUACUAGUUAUAACAAAAAGUUUGUUAGAAGAAAAACUUCUAAACCUAAAAAAUAAAUAUGUAAAUGUUUUAUAUGUGAUGAAGAAGGUCAUAUAGCAACAAAUUGUCCUAACAAAGGAAAAAAUGCUAAAAAAAUGAUUAAAAGUCUUGAAGAACAAGAUUUAGAAAUAUGUAAUCAAAAUGAAAUACAUCCUGAAGAAAUACUAUAUGAAUUAAUAUCAGAAAUAGGUUCUGAUGAAGAAUAUAUAUUUAUGUUUAAUAUAAGAAGAAGUUCUAAUAAUCAAUUAGAAGAAAUUCCUAAUUCUGAACAACAGGAUAUAAAAUUAGGAAAUUUGAUUGGAGAAGAAAAAAAAUUUUCCGAUGAAAUAAUAGAAAAAAUUAAUAAAAAUCAUAUUUCUAAAGAAGAAAUAUAUAAAAUAUCUAAGUUCAAAAUAUGGACCGGGAGACAUACAGAAAAGAUAAGUGGGAAUACUGUAGCUAAUGAUACAAGAGGAGGAUUAACAAAAAUCUCAUUAUUUACCAAAGAUAAAAUUAAGAAGAUUAAAAAGAAAUAUCUUCAAGUACGAUAUAUCCAUCUAGGGAUAAUAAUGAUUACUAUUGGAGCACUAUUUAGGAAAUGUCAUGAUAUUCCUAUAAUAGCUGUUCUUUUAGAUAAAAUAUUUAAAAAUCUAAUAAAAGCACUUAUUGGAGGAAUUCAGUCUAAUUUGCAUACGGGUGUAAUAGGAUUUAAGGUUAAACCAAAUUAUUUUAUAUCCAUUACAGAUCCUCUAAUAGAAGAGUGUCUAUGCCUUAGAAUUCAGACAAAAAAUUUUGAUAUUAAUGAUCUAGCAAAAGAUCAAGCAAUAAUUUAGACUUCUAUUAAUGAAUAUACAAAUACUAUAGAGGUCGAAAUCAAAGAGAUAAAUAACAAAAUUAUUGAGCUUCGAACCUAAUAAAUUUACUACAGAAAUACAACCUAAAUUAUUAAAUUUAAGGGAUCUAUCAAUUCCAAAAUAUUGGAUGAUAGAAAGAAUAGGUAGUGCAAGUAUUUCUAAACCAGUAAGUACUAUAGAAUAUAUGUUAUCAGGAAAUAAGUUAUACUUUAAAAACCUUGCUAUAACUAAUACAAAUGAAAAUUUAAUUUUACCCUCUAAUAAUUCAAUAGAAGAAGAAGAUGAUAAUAUUAGUAAUAAUUCUACACCAAUAGGAGUAAAAAUAGUUCAUAUCCUAUUUUUCCUACAGAACCAAGUAGGAAUUCUAGUAACUCCAGAAUGGAAGAAAUACAAACUUCAAUGAUUAAGCAACAAAUGAAAGUUUGGGUAAAUAAUUUCCAAUCCAGGAAAUAUAAUACAUAUAUUGAAAUUACAUUUCAAUUUAAAAAAUAUAAAAAUAUUCUUUACAUGCUUUAUUAGAUACUAGAGCUACAAUUAGUAGUUGUAGAAAAAAUGUCAUUCCUGUAGAAAAAUGGGAAAUUAUUAAAAAUCCUAUAAGAGCAAUAUGAAUAGAUGGUAAUGAAACCAUAAUUCAAUAUAAAGCUAAAAAUAUUCCAAUUUACAUAAAUAAUGUAAGAUUUGUCAUUCCUAAAAUUUUAUGUUUUCCGGAAAUGCAUGGAGAUAUAUUAUUAGAAAAUAAUUUUAUAUGUCAAUAUUUACCAUUUUCUAUUAAUAAAAAGUCAAUUAGUUUAUCUGUAGAAAAUUUUUAUAUAGAAAUACCAUUAGUUAAUAAUAAAUUUGUGUGUAAUAAAACUUUUACACAAUUAAAAGAAUAAAUUAUGUAUUUUUAUGUACUAAUAAAUUAUUCCUAAUUAUCUUAGCAGGCCUUAUGGAUAGAGGUAAAAAAAUCUCUAGAAACAGUUGGUGAAUGGACUACUGUUUAUAAAAAACCUAACAAAGGGAAAGCAACAAAUUUCAAACAAGGAUUUGUACCUGCACAAGUACCAUUUUAUCCUAACCAAGGAUAUUAUGUACCAUAUCCAAUGGUAAAUCAACCAAUUGAAACUUCUUUAUCAUUGACACUAAAAACGGUUAGUCAAUCACAAUGGUCCCAAAAUCCAAAUUCAGCGUUUCAAGCCAGUUAUGCUGAAAUGAUUAAAGGAACAGAAAAUUUGUUGAAACAACAACAAAUUCAAGAUACUAAAGAUCUUUCUAAAAUAAAAGAUUUUUAUAAUCCUGGUUUAUCACCAGAAUUUUAUAAUUUUAUUAAUGAAAUAUGAAAAACUCAUGUUUCUGAACAAAGAACAAAUUUCAGAAGAGCUCUUGUCAAGUUUUCAUAAUUUUUGGUUGAAAAAACAUCCAAAGAAAAUGAAGCUGAUGAAUUUUUAUUAAAAUCUAUUUAAUAUAGGGAUGGAGAUGAAUUCCAAAUAUUUAUUAUGGAUAUUAAGGAGAUAAAAAAUCUUCUUGAUAUAUUUCAAUAUUUUAUUAAUAAAGAGAAAAAUAAUCCCAUUAUGAAUAAAAUGUUUAGGUUAUGUUUACAUAAUAAAGCUAGAAAUAUUUUACUAGUAGAGAUAUUUAAUAAAAUAGAUGGAGCAUUAGCAACCAGCUAGCUCUAUUUCAAAAAACAUUUUCAGAAUAUUUCUUACAAGUUUAUAUUUUUACAAAUGAUAUAGGAGAAGAAUUUCCUACUAUCAAAUUUAGAUUAGAUCAUGAACCGUUCGAUAUAACUAGUAUUGAAUGGGAUUUUAUAAAAGAAAUAAUAGUACAAAAUUUUUCUUUUCAUCUUUUAAAAUAUUUUCCUGCAGCUGUUAAAUCAGCAUUAUCAAGCAUCAUACGCAAUGAUGAUUUUUUCUACUAUUUUUAUAUUCAAAUAAGCAGCCUUAUUGGUAUUGCUGAAAAAGAAAGAUUUUAUCAGCCAUAUCAACUAUGGAUUAUUCAAAAGAUGAUUGCAAGCCCAUGAUUAUCAGCUAUCAAAGAAAACAAAGAACACUUGGCAAGAACAAUUGACAUGUGUCAUAAUGAUUUUAGCUAUUACCAAACCCAAGCUGGGAUUGAUUUAAUAGCUAAAGCCAAAUAUCUUCUCCAAGAAAAAGAUUAUCGACUCUGGACAGAUGGAAGAAGAAUAUUGGCAUAACAUUCUGGAAUUAUUGAAGAAAGAGAUGAAGAAUCCAUGCGACUACUAAAAAAGAUAGCCGACAUAGAAAUUGAAUAUUUUCCAUCUCAUAUUCUGAAAAAAAUCAAAAGCACAUGAAAAAAUUAGAAUUCACCAAGACUUUCAUUUGAUUCAUUAAAUUUAGAAGAAAUCGAAGAAAUAAAUCUUGAUAACAUCCAACAAGGAUAAAAAAAAAAGGCUGACACCAAGAAAGAGGAAGCAACUUGAAAAAACAAUGCAUCCAAUACAAACAAAACUAUCAUCAAACUAAUGAUGAUAUAAGCAAUGAUGAUGCAAUUAAUGAUGGAAGCAACCAUUAAUUCAACCAUGCAAAGUGAAAGCAACCAGGUUCAUGCAAUUAAAGAAGUAAUACAACAAAUGCAAUGUGGAAGCAAUCACAUCCAUAAAGAGAUAAGAUUCUUAUCAGAAACAUUGUGCGAGAUUCAAAGAACAAUUGUAUAGAGUUUUGAAACUCAAUUAUAAAUAGAAGGAAAUCAAUUGUAUAGCAUCGAAAAAUACUUAGCUUUCUUCUUAGCUUUCUUCUCUUUUGCUAAUAGUUUUUCUUUGUAAAUUUCUCUACUUUAAUAUACAAGCCUUCCGCAUAAACCCACCGACUAAACCUUAGUAUAUGUAUAAAAAGAGCGAGGAGACUAUUGGCUACCGACCAGAGAAAAUUAGAGAAACAGUAGGCAUACUAUUGUAUAGCCCCUGUUUUUUUUUCGGAUAAGUACAGAUUUUAUGCAGCACUGACAUAAACAAACUCCAAUCAACCAACUAUCAUUUUAUUUUUGAUGAAACCCAAUUAUUCUCCAUGUCUAAAAAUUAGUUGAUGAAAACUAAUUCUUUUGGGAUUGUGAUCAAAUGCUAAAGUUGCAUAUUUUAUGUAAUUAAAUUGAUUAAUUUAUGAGAGUGCACCACUAAUUUUUUCAUGUUUAUAUAGAAUUUUGUUCAGAGGAGUAAUUUGGGGCUAAAUAGAAGAAAAAGGAAACAAUUGGGCUAGAUUGAAGAAAAGAGCAAAGAAGGCGGGCCAAAGAAUAAUUUUUCCAAGAUUUAAUUAGCUGAAAUUGACUUAGUGGGAGAUUAUGUAGGGAUAUUUUUAUCAUGGAAUAUUUUAUUUUCUUGAUUUUCUAUGGCUAGUGGCUCUUAAUUUAGCAAAGCCACUAGUAUAAAUAUGAGACUACUUUGUUCAUUUAAUCAUCAAGUCAUAAAUCAAACUUUCAUCUUUGAAUGCAAUCUCUUCUUCACGUAGCUAUUUGUUGUUUUUAGUUCUUUUUUCUUCAAUUUAUUAAUUUCUAGUUAGUCACCAACUUAAACCAUUUACAAUUUCUUUUUCAAAUUCCCUUUUCAUUUCUAGUAGCUAACCAUCCCACCUUAAUACAUUACCAAAUUUCCAACCCCCAUACUUAAUCACGCCACCCAUCCUUUUCACCCAUUAUUACAUUAUUUAAUUUAUCCAAUACCAACAUGCCCCAAACCUUAGCCAACUAAAUCCAUUUUUAGGUCGGAAUUAGCCUCAUCAAGACCCGUGAGUUACGAAUCCGAGCAAAUUAACUCCUAAAUUCCAGUACUUUUUUAUUUCUUCGGAUUAAGAGUAUGAUUUUGUCAACUCACAAAGUCAAAUCAACACUAAGUCAGAAAAGAUGUCGUUUGAUUUAGUGUGGUUAGGCGUACAGUUGGAAUUCCGAAAGGAUUGAUUGUCUAAUCGGUUUUCUGUGAACACAUUGGCGUGCCAAGUGGAGAUUGUUGUUUGGUUCCGUCAAGAGAAGUAGUAACCGGAUUUAAAUGUCCCACGCGGUUGAGGACAUUGGUUCGAGCUAGGCUCUUCUAGAACGCAAAGCUGCUGAAGUUCUAAAUCACGAACGUUUCAUUGGUUGUUCGAUCAGUAAGGGUUAGUUAUUGGACGUUCCAUAACUAAUUUACACAAGGAAGAGUUGGUGUUCGAGGCGUCCUUGAUAGCUAUAACUAGCUUAUUGGAAAAGAGGAGUUCAUCUAAUUUCGAGGAUCGAUUCAAAGACGAGAAAAACCCGUGCCUAAAGCUAAGCUUAAUUUAAUUAAUUUUUCUUCAGAUUUAUUUUACUGUUUUUAUUUCAUUCUUAGCUUUUACUUUUCACGCAUUUUUUUUCUCUGUUUAUUCCAGGUUUUCAAUUUUAUUCUCCCCUCAAAUCUAUUGGGCACGACAACUGCCCAAACACGAAUCUGGUCAAGAAAGAGAAACAAUUUUCAGUAAACCCAGUCUCUGAGGGAUCGACCCUACUCCCUAUACUGCUUAAAUUACAAAUUAGGCGUAGGUUUAUAUUGGUGGACUCGACACUCAUCAGAUUGAUGGCUAGCCUCCUAAUAAUGUUACUUUGGUGUUCUUCGUUGUUCAGAGUAUAGUUGUAGCCAAAUAAUCUGUCAGGAACUGCUCUCUGGAUUAGUUGAAAGAGCCCUUGGGUCUGCUUUCCUGUGCUUCCAUGUAGCCUGUUGUUCCUAUUUUGACAGAGCAUGUAGAUGAACACAUUCCAGGGCCCAGGCAAGCCUUAAAAUUACAGGAAGAAGUGACUCGCCUUUUGAAACCCGAGCAAUCCAAACAAUUUUCUCUUGCCACCCCAUAUCUGUUUGAAGAACAGUCAUGGAAGAUAUGAUCUCUUGUUUCAAUAUUUAUUGCACAGGAUAAACAAUCUGGGAGAACCUUGCAGCCCCAUGAUAUCAGCCAACUCUUUGUCAGUAACUGAUCCCAAACAGCAACAGCAAGCCAUGAGAUAAAAGAGUGUUUCAGAAUGGCGACUUGGGCUGAGCACCAUACCAAUUUAUUAUUUAUAUAAUCCAACAAUAAACACAAAGACAGAGGAUUCUGAAUUAAGAGAAAUUAAAGAAAAACAAUAAAAAUCCAUCCCUUUAUUAUUUAUAUAAUCCAGUAUUCUCUUUGGCUGCACUUCUCUUAUAUACACCAAAAGGAAAGGUAUAUACAACACAAUACAAUAAAAUACAAGCAAGAGAAAUCCAAUGGUAAACUUUAUGUUGGGGAUGGGGAUUUUGUUAAUCCCCAAAUAAACAAAGUUCCCGGUUAUCUUUAGUACUACUCCACCAAAAUGCUGCUAACAUACAGCAACUUACAUAAUUAUAAUAACUACUAUGAUUGUUAUACUAACUUCUGUAUGAAGUAGUAAGUUUCACUCAUCCUUCUCCUUCUGCUCUGCCUUGGAAGGAAAAUUCCUCCAUUGCUGAUGCAUGUAUUGUCUGUAUUCUUCCCUUUUAUUCACAUCAUUCAUCAAUCAAUUCAUAACAAUAACAACAACAACAAUAGCAUAUGCACCCAUAUUGAAAUCAACAAGACUUCAUCUCUGCGUUUCCACAAAAGCCAAACCACUACGUACGGCUAA